CACUGCCAGAUAAAGAACCUAUUAAAAUAGCAGUUUGCAGCAUGCAGCGACUCUUAUUCUUUGAGCCAUAUUUAAUAUUGCCAUAUUUGAUAAAGAAUUCCUUCCUAUUAAAACCUAAAUUGCUUUCAAAUGUAAGUCAUGCCAAUUAGGGUUAACUAUGCCUGCUGUUUUAUUUGGAGGGCGAGCAAGAUAGGGAGGGGGCUCUAGAGAACAAGAAAAUGAGGAGUAUUUUAGAAAGAAGGAAAAAAAGCAGUACACACUAUGUAAAGGCACCAAAUCCAAUUCAUUCUGAUGCAAUAAACACUUUAGGGACAUUAAUGCAAUGUCAAACAAUUUAAGGAUUCACUGCACCAAUCAAUCUUGAUAUUGUAAUAUAUUGUUGAAUAUACUG
rnacentral:lncRNA from 1 species